GAUGAACGCUAGCGGGAGGCUUAACACAUGCAAGUCGAGGGGCAGCAUAGGGUAGCAAUACUCUGAUGGCGACCGGCAAACGGGUGAGUAACGCGUAUGCAACCUACCCUGUACAGGGGGAUAACCCGGAGAAAUUCGGACUAAUAUCCCGUAAUAAUAUCCGGAGGCAUCUUUGGAUAUUUAAAGUUCCGACGGUACGGGAUGGGCAUGCGUAACAUUAGCUGGUUGGUAAGGUAACGGCUUACCAAGGCUAUGAUGUUUAGGGGUCCUGAGAGGGUGGUCCCCCACACUGGUACUGAGACACGGACCAGAUUCCUACGGGAGGCAGCAGUGAGGAAUAUUGGUCAAUGGGCGCAAGCCUGAACCAGCCAUCCCGCGUGCAGGAAGACGGCCCUAUGGGUUGUAAACUGCUUUUCCAGGGAGAGAAACUUACGCACGUGUUGCGUGACUGACGGUACCCUGGGAAUAAGCAUCGGCUAACUCCGUGCCAGCAGCCGCGGUAAUCA
rnacentral:rRNA from 1 species